CAGCAGCCGCGGGAAUACAGAGGGUGCGAGCGUUAAUCGGAUUUACUGGGCGUAAAGCGUGCGUAGGCGGCUUCUUAAGUCGGAUGUGAAAUCCCUGAGCUUAACUUAGGAAUUGCAUUCGAUACUGGGAAGCUAGAGUAUGGGAGAGGAUGGUAGAAUUCCAGGUGUAGCGGUGAAAUGAGUAGAGAUCUGGAGGAAUACCGAUGGCGAAGGCAGCCAUCUGGCCUAAUACUGACGCUGAGGUACGAAAGCAUGGGGAGCAAACAGGAUUAGAUACCCGCGUAGUCCCUGUCUCUUAUAC
rnacentral:rRNA from 1 species